AACAUGAGCUUCAGCUCAUUACCCUUCUUCUUCAUCACUUCCAUGUUGCACCAUGAAAAGAGAGAAGGAAAGAGAGUCUUAAACCCUAGCUCAAUCUUUAAACCAAGAUAACUUUUGAUCCGGAGCUCCGAUCGCCGCAUUGUUUGCGGACACGCGACCGCAGUGACUAGCUCUACAAAGCCCAGUACCUUUCAAGGAUCAAAUUGAGUUGAGGAAUGAGUGGACUUUGGUUCGAUUGAGGCACAUACAAGGUGUAUAGGUGUAUAUAUUGGAGGCUUGGUGGUGAUUGAAGCUAAGAUUUUGGUUGGUUUCUCAAAGCUUGAGGGGCUGUAUUGUGAUUUGUGAUGCUGCCUUGGGCAAAAUAUAGUGAUCGGCCAAGGUAUGAUUUAGGUUUCGCGCGUUUAAUAUAUAAGGUGGUGUGAAAACUUAGACUAGAAGAACUAUACGGAUAAGCUGAGAUCCUCCUUAGCCUUUCUUUUUCAUAGCUUUUUUCUGAUAUAUUCUUCUAUCUUCUUUUUUAUUGAUGGACAUUACUGAAAGCAAAAGAGAGGAGAGAGAAGAGAGAGAAAAUUUUCAAAGGAAGCAUUCAAAGAAAAUUAAAUUCAAUUGAAUUCCAAAUCUCAUUCCCCAAGACAUGGAGUAAUGUGUGGAGCUAUUAAUGCAAAUUAAAAAAAAUUGAAUUUUAUCUUUUCAAUUACUAAGGUAUGAACUUAAUUGAGUUAAAAUUUAAAAUCCAUUAGUCCAUAGGAGUAGGUAACCGAAGCUUGCUUUAUUACUUGGGUCAUUUCCUUCUUUUCUUUUGCUUAGCCAAUAUUAAUUCAUGGGCUUGUGAUUUGGGCUUGUCUCACUCUAAACUUUAAAGGUUCAGCCACUUGAAUUAAAUAUUUGAUGAUGAGCUUACACUUGUUUAGAAACUAAAGACGGGCUUCCAUUUGCUGGCCCAUUAGGAAAUUAAUUUUUCUUCCUGUACACUAAUAAAAUCAUUAACCAAACAAUUGAAAGUAAUUUAAAAGCAUUGAUAAUUUUUUAAUUUGUAUUUAAUAAUGUUUGAUCAUCAUUUCAAUCAGAUACAAGUUUUUCAAACUCAACA